rnacentral:rRNA from 1 species
UACGUAGGGGGCAAGCGUUAUCCGGAUUUACUGGGUGUAAAGGGGGCGCAGACGGCGAUGCAAGCCAGGAGUGAAAGCCCGGGGCCCAACCCCGGGACUGCUCUUGGAACUGCGUGGCUGGAGUGCAGGAGGGGCAGGCGGAAUUCCUGGUGUAGCGGUGAAAUGCGUAGAUAUCAGGAGGAACACAGGUGGCGAAGGCGGCCUGCUGGACUGCAACUGACGUUGAGGCCCGAAAGCGUGGGGAGCAAACAGG